GAAAACAAAAGUGAAAAAGAACAAAUAGUAAAUAUAGUAGCAGGCCAGGAAAAUCAUUCAUUUGUAUGACAGUCAACGGAAUGCUGCGAGCACGUCCACCGAAGUAAGUGGUGUUUCUUUUAAUCCUGAUAUAUUAAGCACCUCAAAUUGUGAUUGACGACUGGUGUUCGCAAUAUUCUUUAGCUUUCGGAAGAGUAUGAAUAUGAUUUUUUUGCAUAUUAUUAUUGAUAAGGAUAUAUUUAGGAUGAUGACAUUUUCUUUAGUUAUAUCAUCCUAAACAGCUGUACUAACGCGGCACACACAUACGCAGGCACACACAAGGGGAACAUCUUGGAGUUUUUGUGUUUUCUUAUCCUCACAAGUAACGACAACCCUUUGCAGGUACCGUCUUCUUGAAAUCAUACCAUGUCACUAUUUUCUGGGGAUAUGUAUGAGAAAAGACAAGAUAGCUCUCAAUGAAUGAAGUUGUAAUCAACAUUGUCGAGUUGAAGAUUUCUUAAAACCUUGGGCUGGAAUCUACCUGUUACCGAAGACAAAAAAUCAAGUUUUGCGGAGCAGCUGAAUGGAGUUAUAGUGUUGUUCAGGACAAAAUCCAAGAACUACAUGCAUGGAGAGACUUGUAACCAAUGUUAGUAUCACUCACAGUCCCUUUAUUUUUCAGCUUGUGUCCAUUAUUUAAUGUUAUGUUUAAAAAUAAGGUAUAUCUUAUCUUCCAAGAAUUUGAAACACGGAGUGGAAAAGCAGAGGGGGAGAGAGAGAGGAGGUUAUCCAAAUCGGUCUUCAACUCAACUUUAGCUUAAGAUUAUGACCAUAUGAAUAUGACAUAAACAUCAUUCCAUCUAGUUGUUUGUCAAAUCAAAUACCCCAAUUAAGUCAUUAUAAUGUUUUUACUUCUUAGAAAUUCAUUUUGCACCAAACUACUACCAUCACUUUCUUUGAGCACCCUAUGUGUACUAGCGAUGGCAACAUUUUUGAUAUAUUAUGAUUAUCUUUCUAUUUAAAUUUUAUUAUGGGUUCGUAGCAUUUCACCGACAUAUUAUUUUGAAUUUGAUUGGAAUUUGAUUUGGGAGGUCCACACUACCCCAGAAUGUAAAUUUCUCAACAUUUUCAUGAUAGUAAUUUCCAUCUUUGAUUUUUGUAGGAAUGUAAUACUCGUAAGAGAAAGCAAGUUGAAAAACCAGAUGCUCCAAGGUUAUCCACUUCCAGGUUUAAAGUUCCCAAAUUGAAGAGUGCCUCUCCACGUACCACAUACUAAAAUGAAAAAAUGAAAAGAAAUGAAAAAAGAAAAAAAGUAAAAAAGAAAAGAGAGGAAAAAAAAGGAAAAAAAAAAGAAAAAGAAAAGAAAAAAUGGAAUAAGAGAAGAAAAAAACAAACUAUGCUACUUAAAGAAAAGAAAAAAUGGAAUAAGAGAAGAAAAAAACAAACUAUGUAAUUGUAGUAGCAGGCCAGGAGUAUUGAUCAUGUGUAUGACAACUAUUGGAACGCUGCAAGCACGUCCACCAAAGUAAGUAGUGUUGCUUUAAUUCCUAAUCUUUCAUGUGUAUUAUAGGCAAUGAACCAUUUACUAGGGAUGAUUUGAUAACAAUUCAAGUAUGCAAUAGUGUCCAUUCAUUGUGUUCUGUUUGCUGAAAGUUGAUACUAAAAAUUUCAAUGACCUUUUUGUCUUGAGAUGUGUAUUUUACGAGAUAUCUACAAUAUGUAAUCCAUCGAAUGGAAGGGCAACUGAAAAAUAUCCUGUCUUUGUGUCCAUUAGACGUUACCCUAUGCCAUUGUUUUGAAAUGCCCACCAACCCAUUUUGAUGGAGAGCUUGAAGUGUCAACAUUGCUCAUGGUAUAACUGUGAAAUUCAAGUAUCCAUGCACUGCCAUGGAAUGUUAACCCAUGAUCAGAAAAUGAGACUGAUCGAAAUGUAUAACUUUCAGGAUUUUAAUUUCAAAAUUUCAUGGAAAGGAAUAAAUUUAUCAGAUUGGUACUCUACUUGUAGAAAUUUUAAAUAUGAUGCAAACUAUCAAAAAUUUGAUUUUUGUGAGAUUGCUUUUGUGUUUGCAUGAUUUGUGAGAAAAGUAAUUUUAUGAUUUAUUUGAUUUAGCAGUAGACAUUGAAGUCGUGUAUGAAUAUCACGUCGAAAAUUGAAUGCACAUUAUAUAAUCGAGUGUGAUCAUUUCGAUAUUUGUCAAACUUGUCAGGUAAAAAGCACAAAUACUUCAGAUGCUGCCUCAUGGUCCUUCACUUCUACUUCUUAUGAUCGUGUCACUAAGUAUAAAUAUGAAUAUGUCAAAGGUGAAGAAACCCUUAGAAGAAAGGGUAUGUUUGGUUACACAAUACAUGGUGACUUGAACGUAGAACUGCAUUGUGACUUAGCUUCCAGGGAAUGUGAAAAUUUAUCACAUUAUGUGAGUGUGGCUACUGCAAUGGUUAUCUUUCCAUCAAAGUAUUAGGUAUGCAUCUUUGCCAUCUUUUUCAUUGUGUUCCUUGCUUUUGUUAAUGAUUUCUAAUCCCAAAAUCACCGGUGCUUUUUGGCCCUAUUAUUUAGUAAUUAUAUGGGUGGUGAUCCCACUGUUUUUUGGCCUUUUAAAGAUGAACUACACUCAAAAGUAGUUCAGUCGGGGAGGGGUGUUUUUAGUAUUGCAAACAGUAGUCCUCACACAAAUGUUUCCCAAUUCUUCAUCCUAUAAAUGUCUGCGAAUCAUCUGAACUUCAAUCAUACUGUUUUUGGUGGAGUUGUAGGGUUCUUGACUACCCUAGAAGUAAUGAUAGAGGGGAAAAUCCAAACAGUAGAUACUAAUUAAAUCAUAUCCGUUUCGUCAUUUAUUGCAUUUCAGCUCUCAACUUCCCGCUGUAUAACUAAAGCAUGCCAUUAUUUUUCUUGAAAUUUUUUAUUGAAUACAGAUUAUAAAUUUCAAGCUUUGAAUCUACCUCACAACAAAUCAAGAUUGGCACUAACCAGCAAUGCUGUACCAAGAUGUGUUCUUCUACUAGUAAAGAAGAUCAAAAGGUUUGUAUUGAACCCCACUAUCCGGAGAUGCUAAUAAAAUAAGUAGCCUAUUUAUUAAAUUAUUUUAGUCAUUUCAUAAGGGGAUAGUAUUAUCUGACUUUGUUGUUUUGUUAGUGAUAUUUUUUUCCGUGAAAAGAGUAUUUCCAAAUUCGAAUGACUAAUGUAUUUGUGUCCUGAUUGGUAAUAUGUUAUUGCAGUGGUAAAAAUGCUUGGCAAACAAAUGUGGCUUAUGACGCAUGCAUUAGCUUGGUUCUGCAUGCAGGGGGCAAGAGGCUGCACAAAAAUCUCUGAAUUUUGUACGAUGAGUGCUUGGUUGUUUGGAGUGCCUUUAGGUAUGUUACCAACCUUAGAAAUUAGAAUAUUGUUAUUUAAAAUGACUAGGAAAGUAUACCUCUUGUUACAAACCCUAACAUUUCAUCUUAUAUAUAUAUAUAUCAUCACUAGGCACACAGUUCGAUUUGGAAUUUUUCAAAAACUUAAUGCGAUUUUCUUCUUCUUCGACAUUGAGAUUAUCUUUAAGUUCCAAAGUAUGACGUUUUAUUUAUUUAUUUGGUGCAGCUAUUAUUAGGUGGUGGUGGUGGUACUGGUCCAAAUCCAAUACACAAUUCAUCCAUUUGCAUAAUCUCUAUUGUUAUGAGUUUCUCUUCUCCAAGAUUACCUUUUCAAAUUCGUAAAACCCAUAACUUCCCAGGUACUACUACUAGGAAGCUCAGAGGGCUUUGCUAAUUUUUUGUAUUAUUUUAGGAUUUAACCGCUAUAUCUGUAACUUCAAAUUUUCUACUCUUUCCAAAGUUAUGCAUUCUACUGUAUAUUGCUUGAAUGCUUAAUUUUUCAUUUAUCUUCUUAUGUCCCUGUUCCUUUCACCUUGAAAUUGUUUUUACCAUGCAUUCAUGCUUUAAAACUCUAGCACAUAUAUGCUCUAAGCCUCUAACACUGUCCUACAUUUAUCGCUUUUACCAUGCAGGGAAUAUCACAAAACCCUAUGCCGCCACAUGUGAUAUAUUUCCAGGUACAGAAAAUUUUGUUUCCGUUAUAUCCUAUGUAAAUCUCCCCCCCCCCCCCCCCCCCCCCAAAAAAAACACACACACACAUGCAGCUUCUCCAUAGGGAUCAAGCAAUUGUCCAGACUUGAGUUAUGAUUUUCUAUAUUUUCCCAUUAAUAUUUUCAUUUUUUUUUCUUGUAGAUUUGGAAGACAGAGGCACAACCACUACUAUGUAAUUUGUCUCAGUUUCUUUUAUUACUAUGGAAGGUGGAGUGAUAAAGGUAAUGACAAACAUCUUUUUUGUCUCCCAAUAGUUCCCUAUUUAUACCACUUAAAGAACAUUAAGAAAAUAAUAUAUGUUUGGAGUUUCUUAUCCACAAUGUUGCCUCACUAGACCUUAUGAGUAGUCUUGGUAGAAGCAUCUAUGAUCAUAUAAUCCUCUAAUUUUGAGCAGAUUUCUCACUCCUGAUCAUGACAAACAGAUGAAGAUAAAUGUAUCUGGAGCUAAAUCAGAAGCUAUUUUGGAAGGAAAAGUUGCCACUAUUAUGUGUUCUUACAAGUUACAAUCUAGUUAAUUGAAUUCCUACCUGUGCUGACCCUAAUCUUCUACGUAAUACAUCAGAGGGUACUGGAGGCUUAAUGGGUGAGUUUCAUAUUCCGAUUAUGUUGACCAAAGUCAACAAUCAACACCAAUAAAAAUUUGAUUACAUCCAUGGGACUAAAUAAAAUAUGACAUAUUUUUCAUAUGUGUGGAACAGGUACAUUGUUUCCGAUUGCAAUUCAGUAGUUGUUUUCUACGAUAACAACCACUGCACCGCUAUUGAAGGAAGCAGCUGCAGAUGCCAUUAAAGUCGGUUAGUAAAUGCCUAUAUAGAUUAGUGUCGUCAUUUUUGUGUGUUUGGCUAAGUAGAACUUUUAUUUUAUUGAUAUAGUAACAUGAACCUCAAUUUGAUUGUUGUUAUUGUAUUUCUAUUAUUUCAGGUUAGAUUUGGACUGUGGCCUAUUUCUUGCAGUGCACACUGAGCUGGCCAUAGAAAGAAGGUUAUUGAGGAGGUGGAUGUAAACAAUGCACUUGUUAAUACAAUGACAGUCCAAAUGAGGCUGGGUAGGUUUGAUGAUGAGCCAUCUAAGCAGCCAUACGGACGCUUAGGUCCACCAGAUGUGUGUUUCUCGACUAACAACCAACUAGCUCUUGAGGCUGCUCUACAAUGGAUAAUCUUGUUGUGUGAUUCCUUGAGUUUAUCAAUAAAGUUUCUGUUAAGAAGAAAAAAAAAGGAAAAUAAAAAAAUAGAAAAAAAAAAAAAACAAAGGAGAAAAAAGAAAAAAUAAAAGGAAAAAAGAAAAUGAUAGAAAAAGGAAAACAAAAGUGAAAAAGAAAAAAUAGUAAUUAUAGUAGCAGGCCAGGAAAAUCAUUCAUUUGUAUGACAGUCAACGGAAUGCUGCGAGCACGUCCACCGAAGUAAGUGGUGUUUCUUUUACUCCUGAUAUAUUAAGCACCCCAAAUUGUUGAUUGACAACUGGUGUUCGCAAUAUGCUUUAGCUUUGGAAAGAGUAAGAAUAUGAUUUUUUUGCAUAUUAUUAUUGAUAAGGAUAUAUUUAGGAUGAUGGCAUUUUCCUUGGUUAUCAUCCUAAACAGCUGUACUAACGUGGCACACACAUACACAUGCACACACAAGGGGAACAUCUUGGAGUUUUUGUGUUUUCUUAUCUUCACAAGUAACGACAACCUUUGCAGGUACUGUCUUCUGGAAAUCAUACCAUGUCACUAUUUUCUGGGGAUAUGUAUGAGAAAAGACAAGAUAGCUCUCAAUGAGUAUGAAGUUGUAAUCAACAUUGUCGAGCUGAAGAUUUCUUAAAACCUUGGGCUGGAAUCUACCUGUUACGGAAGACAAAAAAUCAAGUUUUGUCUGGGGAGAUGCUGGCUUGACAUUUUGGAGUCCAAAUGUGAACAUAUUUAGAGACCCAAGGUGGGGUCAUGGACAAGAAACUCCUGUUGAAGACCCAGUUUUAGCCGGUAAGUAUGCCGCUAGCUAUGUGAGAGGACUCCAACUCUCCAAGGUUACGGAGGUAACCCAUUGAAGGUAGCAGCAUGUUGUAAACAUUACACAGCAGACGAGCUUGAUAACUGGAAUGGCGUUGAUGCUUCCACUUUGAUGCCAAGGUAAAUAUUACAGCAACCUGUUGGGUCUUGGUUUGAAUUUUGUUUAGUAAUAAAGCCCAUGAUUUGAGCAUGUUUGGGGUUUUCACAUUUGCAGUUUAGCAAACAAGACGUUGAGGAUACCUUUGAUGUUCCAUUUAGAGACUGUUUUGGAAGGAAAAGUUGCCACUGUUAUGUGUUCUACCUGUGCUGACUCUAAUCUUCUACCUAAUACAUCAGAGGGUACCUGAAGCUUAAUGGGUGAGUUUUAUAUUCUGAUAAUGUUGACCACAGUCAACAAUCAACACCAAUAAAAAUUUGAUUAUCCAUGGGACUAAAUAAAAUAUGACAUAUUUUGCAUAUUGUGGAACAGGUACAUUGUUUCCGAUUGCAAUUCAGUAGGUGUUUUCUACGAUAACCAACACUGCACCGCUAUUGAAGGAAGCAGCUGCAGAUGCCAUUAAAGCCGGUUAGUAAAUGCCUAUAUAGAUUAGUGUCGUCAUUUUUUUGUGUGGCUAAGUAGAACUUUUAUUGAUUGAUAUAGUAAUAUGAACCUUAAUUUGAUUGUUGUUAUUGUAUUUCUAUUAUUUCAGGUUAGAUUUGGACUGUGGCCUAUUUCUUGCAGUGCAAACUGAGGGGGCCAUAGAAAGAAGGUUAUUGAGGAGGUGGAUGUAAACAAUGCACUUGUUAAUACAAUGACAGUCCAAAUGAGGCUGGGUAUGUGUGAUGGUGAGCCAUCUAAGCAGCCAUACGGACACUAAGGUCCACCAGAUGUGUGUUUGGCGACUAACAACCAACUCGCUCUUGAAGCUGCUCUACAAUGGAUAGUCUUGUUAUGUGACCGAGUUUAUCAAUAAAGUUUCUGUUGAGAAGAAAAAAAAAAGGAAAAAGAAAAAAGAAAAAAAAAGUAUAAAAUAAAAAAAACAAAAAAGAAACAAAGGAAAAAAAGAAGGGAAAAGAAAAAAGAAAAUGCAAAAAAAAGGAAAACAAAAGUGAAAAAGAAAAAAUAGUAACUAUAGUAGCAGGCCAGGAAAAUCAUUCAUUUGUAUGACAGUCAACGGAAUGCUGCCAGCACGUCCACCGAAGUAAAUGGUGUUUCUUUUAAUCCUGAUAUAUUAAGCACCUCAAAUUGUUGAUUGACAACUGGUGUUCGCAAUAUUCUUUAGCUUUGGGAAGAGUAUGAAUAUGAUUUUUUGCAUAUUAUUAUUGAUAAGGAUAUAUUUAGGAUGAUGACAUUUCUUUUUGUUAUAUCAUCCUAAACAGCUGUACUAACGCGGCACACACAUACACAGGCACACACAAGGGGAACAUCUUGGAGUUUUUGUGUUUUCUUAUCCUCACAAGUAACGACAACCCUUUGCAGGUACCGUCUUCUUGAAAUCAUACCAUGUCACUAUUUUCUGGGGAUAUGUAUGAGAAAAGACAAGAUAGCUAUCACUGAGUAUGAAGUUGUAAUCAACAUUGUUGUGCUGAAGAUUUCUUAGAACCUUGUGCAGGAGUCUACCUGUUAUCGAAGACAAAAAAUCAAGUUUUGUAGACUAGCUGAAUGGAGUUAUAGUGUUGUUCAGGACAAAAUCCAAGAACUACAUGCAUGGAGAGACUUGUAACCAAUGUUAGUAUCACUCACAGUCCCUUUAUUUUUCAGCUUGUGUCCAUUAUUUAAUCUUAUGUUAAAAAAUAAGGUAUAUCUUAUCUUCCAAGAAGAAACAAGGAGUGGAAAAGCAGAGGGAGAGAGAGAGAGAGGAGGUUACCCAAAUCGGUCUUCAACUCAACUUUAACUUAAGAUAAUGACCAUCUGAAUAUGACAUGAACAACAUUCCAUCUAGUUGUUUGUCAAAUCAAAUACCUCAAUUAAGUCAUUAUAAUGUUUUAACCUCUUAGAAAUUCAUUUUGCGCCAUACUACUACCAUCACUUCCUUUGAGGACCCUAUGUGUACUACCGAUGGCAACAUUUUUGAUAUAUUAUGAUUAUCUUUCUCUAUGAAUUUUAUUAUGGGUUCGUAGCAUUUCACUGAAAUAUUCUUUCGAAUUUGAUUGGAAUUUGAUUUGGGAGGUCCACACUACCCCAGAAUGCAAAUUUCUCAACAUUUUCAUGAUAGUAAUUUCCAUCUUUGAUUUUUGUAGGAAUGUAAUACUCAGAAGAGAAAGCAAGUUGAAAAACCAGAUGCUCCAAGGUUAUCCACUUCCAGGUUUAAAGUUCCCAAAUUGAAGAACGCCUCUCCACGUACCACAUACUAAAAGUAAAAAAGAAAAAGAAAAAAAAAAGGAAAAGAAGAAGAAAAACCGAAAAGAAAAAAAAAAGAAAAAAAGGAAGAAAAAAAGAAAAAAAAA
rnacentral:lncRNA from 1 species